GCUUAACCGAAGAAGUGCAUCGGAAACUGGGUGACUUGAGUGCAGAAGAGGACAGUGGAACUCCAUGUGUAGCGGUGGAAUGCGUAGAUAUAUGGAAGAACACCAGUGGCGAAGGCGGCUGUCUGGUCUGCAACUGACGCUGAGGCUCGAAAGCAUGGGUAGCGAACAGGAUUAGAUACCCUGGUAGUCCAUGCCGUAAACGAUGAGUGCUAGGUGUUGGAGGGUUUCCGCCCUUCAGUGCCGGAGCUAACGCAUUAAGCACUCCGCCUGGGGAGUACGACCGCAAGGUUGAAACUCAAAGGAAUUGACGGGGGCCCGCACAAGCGGUGGAGCAUGUGGUUUAAUUCGAAGCUACGCGAAGAACCUUACCAGGUCUUGACAUCUUGCGCUAACCUAAGAGAUUAGGCGUUCCCUUCGGGGACGCAAUGACAGGUGGUGCAUGGUCGUCGUCAGCUCGUGUCGUGAGGUGUUGGGUUAAGUCCCGCAACGAGCGCAACCCUUGUUACUAGUUGCCAGCAUUCAGUUGGGCACUCUAGUGAGACUGCCGGUGACAAACCGGAGGAAGGUGGGGACGACGUCAGAUCAUCAUGCCCCUUAUGACCUGGGCUACACACGUGCUACAAUGGUCGGUACAACG
rnacentral:rRNA from 1 species